CCCUAUGGGGUGCAGCAGGCGAGAAAACUUUGCAAUGUGCGAAAGCACGACAAGGUUAAUCCGAGUGGUUCCUGCUAAAGGAACCUUUUGUUAGUCAUAAUACCACUGAUGAAUAAGGGGUGGGCAAGUUCUGGUGUCAGCCGCCGCGGUAAAACCAGCACCUCAAGUGGUCAGGAGGAUUAUUGGGCCUAAAGCAUCCGUAGCCUGCUCUGUAAGUUUUCGGUUAAAUCUAUAUGCUCAACAUAUGGGCUGCCGGGAAUACUGCAAAGCUAGGAAGUGGGAGAGGUAGACGGUACUCCGUAGGAAGGGGUAAAAUCCUUUGAUCUAUGGAUGACCACCAGUGGCGAAGGCGGUCUACCAGAACACGUUCGACGGUGAGGGAUGAAAGCUGGGGGAGCAAACCGGAUUAGAUACCCGGGUAGUCCCAGCUGUAAACUAUGCAAACUCAGUGAUGCAUUGGCUUGUGGCCAGUGCAGUGCCGCAGGGAAGCCGUUAAGUUUGCCGCCUGGGAAGUACGUACGCAAGUAUGAAACUUAAAGGAAUUGGCGGGGGAGCACCACAAGGGGUGAAGCCUGCGGUUCAAUUGGAGUCAACGCCAGAAAUCUUACCCGGAGAGACAGCAGAAUGAAGGUCAAGCUGAAGACUUUACCAGACAAGCUGAGAAGUGGUGCAUGGCC
rnacentral:rRNA from 1 species